CCCCAAGCUUACCUCUUGCUCGUCCCUGAGCAAGGAUAGACUCAGCUAUGGAUCAUAAGUAGUCGCAAUAUCUUUAAAAAUUUGACGGUACACAUGCUUUUAAAUAAGAUCUCAUCUCUGGGUAAGAGUAAACUGUCAAGACUUAAAACUUACUUACUUUACCUACACCAUGGGACUUGUAACUGUCACUUCUGUCUUGAGUGGUUAAAAGAUAGAACAGUCUAGCCAAGUGCCAUGUCUCUUAUUCUUGAUCAGCUAUAGCUCUGGGGUUUUUUGCAGAUUUUCAAAUAAAACUCAGAAUUCCUUGUAUGAUUCUCUCAGGUCUCUCUUUUGUGGUAUUUUUGGAUCCUUACCAAGGCAUUGAUGGUAUAUGCCUUCUCUCAAGAUAUGUGGUAUUUGUGGUAUAAGACAUAGUGACAUUGCCUUCUCUCUCACCCUACUCUAAUAAGGCUUUAAUAUCUGGAGCUCAUAGGUGGGAGAUAAAGUAUACAUACUUACAAGACAUGUAUUGCAUAGUCAAACCAUGGAUCCAAAGUAACAAGUCAAUAAGUUUAAUCAAGAUGUGCAUGUGUGGCGAAUGAAUGGUAUAUGGUGAUGAUGGUGAUAACAAUGGUGAAAACAAUGGUGGUGGAAGUCUAAUUCUACUUUUGCUCUUUAAGGGGAUACAUACCUUCCUUGCUUUUGAAACUUUAUGAGGAGAAUGAGAUGCUCUUCUUUUUUUCUUUUCUCUCAGGUGGGUAUCUUGCACCUCUAAUUCUACUGUCGGACACUUGUCCAUUUUUACCUCUCGUCUCACUCUUUUUCUUUCCUUUCGAGGUUCCGAGCACUUGCUCCUUUUUAUUUCCUCAUAUUAUUUCUCCUCUUUUUUUUAGAGCAUUCAUCGCUUGAGAUAAUAUAGCAAGUGGUAGUAACAAGAUAACUUGAGCAUUUAUUUCACAAGGGGAAACAGAAAUAUUUUUGGUUAUUCUCUCCCGAAUUAGGAGUAGAAUAUUUUCAGGUGGUUCUGGAGAUGGAAUGGAUGGAUAUAUGUGGAUGGUACUUCCGAAGUAGAAGUAGCAUAUAUGAGUGAACGUGCAAGUGAAAUCUUGAUUUAACCACAUGACAAGCUCCUAAGGGUCU
rnacentral:lncRNA from 1 species